UGUAAACGAUGUGCACUAGUGNNUGGGACUAUAGAAGCUCUCGGUCUCGCAGCUAACGCGUUAAGUGCACCGCCUGGCGAGUAUGCUCGCAAGGGUGAACUCAAAGGGAAUUGACGGGGGCCCGCACUAAGCGGUGGAGCUAUGUGGUUAAAUUCGAUGAUACGCGAGAACUCUUACCAGGGCUUGACAUAAAGCGGACGGUUGUAGAGAUACAGCUUCCCUUCGGGGUCGCUUUACAGGUGCUGCAUGGCUGUCGUCAGCUCGUGCUGUGAAGUGUUGGGUAAGUCCCGCAACGAGCGCAACCCUUGCUGUCUGUGCCCAUCAGGUAAUGCUGGGGACUCGGACGGUACUGCCGGUGACAAACCGAGGGAAGGUGGGGACGACGUCUAGUCAUCAUGGCCCNUAUGUCUUGGGCUACACACGUGCUACAAUGGCCGGUACAGAGCGAANCGGAACCGCGAGNUGGAGCAAUCGCAGANNAAUCGGUCCCAGUUCGGAUUGGAGUCUGAANCCCACUUCAUGAAGUGGAAUCGCUAGUA
rnacentral:rRNA from 1 species